GGGUGGUUAGCUCAGCUGGUAGAGCGCUUUCUUGACGUGAAAGAGGUUUCACAGGUUCGAUCCCUGUACCACCCA
rfam:Candidatus Daviesbacteria bacterium RIFCSPHIGHO2_02_FTLL_36_13 rifcsphigho2_02_scaffold_1835, whole genome shotgun sequence.